rnacentral:snRNA from 13 species
UGGCCGCAAGCCUAGGGCGAAGCCGAGCAAGCUGCUGCCACCAAUGUCAUAGUUGGAGGCCCUGGCGUAGUCCUUGCUGCCACGGAAGUUGGUGACGGCACUGAGGUGCAGGCUGGCCAUAAGGUCGCCCGGCAAAGCCAUGCACAGC